CCCUAACAUAUUCCUGAUUAAAAACUACAUUUUUGUAGGUUUACCCAUGUAUAUUGGUACAAUAACUGUGACGUCUUGAAAGGCUAUUGUAAUUUUUUCUUUUACAAACUUUCAUUGACGGAAGGCGUCAAAGCAAAAUUUAAAAAAGCCAUCCAAGAUGUCAUAAUUAUUGAUAUAAAAACUCUAAUUUUUAUAUGUGUGCAUGUAACAAAUUUGGUUGUAGAGGGGUCUAAAUACAGCACAAACUACAUUUUCCAAAAGACCAAAAGAGUGAAAAAAAUAGAUUUUAACAACAAC
rnacentral:lncRNA from 1 species